rnacentral:rRNA from 1 species
AGCAGCCGCCGCGGUAAUACGUGGGUGGCAAGCGUUGUCCGGAUUUAUUGGGCGUAAAGCGAGCGCAGGCGGUUUCUUAAGUCUGAUGUGAAAGCCCCCGGCUCAACCGGGGAGGGUCAUUGGAAACUGGGAGACUUGAGUGCAGAAGAGGAGAGUGGAAUUCCAUGUGUAGCGGUGAAAUGCGUAGAUAUAUGGAGGAACACCAGUGGCGAAGGCGGCUCUCUGGUCUGUAACUGACGCUGAGGCUCGAAAGCGUGGGGAGCGAACAGGAUUAGAUACCCCUGUAGUCCCUGUCUCUUAUAC